GGCUCACCACAUGCCCGGGACAGGGGCAGACCCAGAGGCCAGCCCAGCCCUCCUUCCUGUUCCCCUGGCCCACUUCCUCUCCUGUGAAGGCUUCGCUGGCUCGGCUGGCGCCUUCUGGCCUCCCUCUUCCUCCCUUUUCAGCCCCUGGGUCUUCUCAGUGUUUUCAAACUCAAUCAGACAUUGAGGUAGGGGAGUCACAUGGCAGAAGUUGGUGGCCAGAGCAGGGAGCCCCCUGAGCUGUGGGAGACGGAGGCAUUCACUCGACUGGAGCCACCCAUGUCACACCAGCAGCCAGCCUGGGGCGGGGGAUGCCAGACUCCAUCCUGCCCUGUAGCAUGGAGGUGGUGGGGACACAACUGACUCCCAGCCCCUUAAUAUCCAAGCUGAGGGCCAUGGCCAGAGAAAACGAAAGAGCCUGGCCUGGGCGUCAGGAAGCCUGGGUCCCAGGCCAGCUCCUCCUCACUCAGGCUGUGUGACGUUGGGCAAACCCCCUGCCCUCUCUGGUCCUGAUGCAUGGUUACAAGGAGGGCCUGGACUCGAUGCUGCCCAAAGGGAUCAGCAGCCUGGGCAAGCCCCUUCCUGGCCCCAG
rnacentral:lncRNA from 1 species